rnacentral:piRNA from 1 species
UGCACUUUGAAGUCCUAGGAGGUACCCACC